UACGGAGGGUGCAAGCGUUAUCCGGAUUUAUUGGGUUUAAAGGGUGCGUAGGUGGGAUUGUAAGUCAGUGGUGAAAUUCUGUAGCUUAACUAUAGAACUGCCAUUGAUACUACAGUUCUUGAGUACAAUUGAGGUAGGCGGAAUGUGCAGUGUAGCGGUGAAAUGCUUAGAUAUUGCACAGAACACCAAUUGCGAAGGCAGCUUACUAAACUGUAACUGACACUGAGGCACGAAAGCAUGGGGAGCGAACAGG
rnacentral:rRNA from 1 species